GUACCAGUUUCUUGCUGCUCCCUUCAAGGUAGACGGGAAAGCCCGGCACAAGAUGGCGUCAGGGGCACCGUGGAGCAGCAUCAUCGUUCGAAAGGCCUCCAGAUGAUCGACUGGGUCUGACGUCCCGUCGUAGCUUUCGAACUGAGGAAGCUUGAAAUUCGGCGGGAUUGGUUCCUGCAUAAUCAUUUGGGAGAAGGGAGGGUCAGUGCAGAUAUCCUCACCGUAAGCGGGAGGUGCAUGGUGGAGUUCUUCGAUCCGCCGGUUCAUCUCCUGGAGCUUCCGGUCCAGGAAGUCCUCUCGACUUCGAGUCUCGAGGGUCC
rnacentral:lncRNA from 1 species